UCUCUCUCUCCCUUUCUCUCUGUCCCUCCCCCACUCACGUGCUCUUUCUCUCAAAUAAAAACUUAAAAAAACAAAACAGAGAAGAAAAUGGAAGCACAGGAACAUUGCUAUAAAAAGAAAAACCACCCACGUUUUGACUUUAAUAUGCUAUCUUCACACUUAACAUUUCAGUGAGAAAUAUGCCAAAUCUCCAGAAGGUGUCUGUAAAACUAAGACCCUGCGGCACCUGGGUGGCUCAGUCGGUUAAGCCUCCAACUUCGGCUUAGGUCAUGAUCUCAUGGUUUGAGUUUGAGCCCCGCGUGGGGCUCUGUGCUGACAGCUCAGAGCCUGGAGCCUGCUUCGGAUUCUGUGUCUCCCCCUCUCUCUGCCCCAUGCUCAUGCUCUAUUAAAAAAAAAAAAAAAAAUUAAAAACUAAGACCCUGUCCACUCGAGCAAUGCUCAGUAAACUGAGAGUCUGGCCGUAUUCUCUUCCACCUUCAUUCAUUACCGAAGGUCACAUCAUCAGCUAAUCACUUUGUUCUUGAGAAACUGCUGGUGAGGAUAAAUGAUCUGAUUUCAUUUAAAAGGGAAUUCUGUCUCAAAACACUAUUAAGACUGUCUCCCCUUUACUAUGCCAGCCACUAAGCAGAAAUGCUGACACGAGGGGUCAGAUGUGAAAGUCUGGCGGGGGGAGGAACACUGUAAGACUAGCUUCAAGAACAAGCUGGUAGCAGGAGAACCACAAAUUACUCUCUCCCCUUUGGUUUUAAUUCUAGGUGGCAAUAUAGCCAUUGUGAUAAAGGAGAAGUCAAGUCAACUUAGGGUAAAGAUAAUAAACAUCACUGAAAGCUGGUAGGUUCUCUGACAAAUGUUGCAGGGUCUGGAAACCAGUUGCUAAUGGGGUAGUACCUAUGGCAGUUUUCUCAGGGUUUUAUACCUGGGAAGGGUUAUAUCGAACCAUCUCGUCUCAUUUAUCUUCAAUUUUAGUUUUUCUCAGUGAAAUUUUAACUCUGAUCUAUUGUGAACUGAGCCUUUAAGUAUUCCUUCCUUUACAAGGAAAAGACCAAGGUCUGAAAUCUAUGUUUGAACCAAAUGAAAUUGCCAUCUCUGGAGGUAAAAAAAAAAAAAAAUGCUUGCCUAUCAGCAGUUUCAUAUGGUUCAUUCUAAGAUUCUUCGGGCCCAGUGCUUCUGGUUAAAGAGAAGCUCUCCCUGCUGUAUCGGAUUCCAUCACGACCUUUUCUUUGACAUUUACGCUGAAUGUGCCCCAUAUGCUCAUACAUUACUGAAAUCCAACACCACUUAAUCUUGGUUUUGUAACAGUGUGAGGUUCAUCUCUUGGUUUAGUUUUCCUGUAUGUAUAAAUACUACUUGAUUUAAAGGAAAAACAUGCUGAAGCCAGUAUUCACAGGAAAAUAAUUCCCUCUGUAUUCAGGUUAUACAAUGUUUUUUGGAAAAGUUGAGCUACAGCAUAGAAGUUAGCUAAAUUGGUCUUUCAUCACCGCAACUUCUCUCUGGUCACACGUAAAACGACUACAGCUCUUCCCUCAACCAGAGGCUGCAUCCUGGAGCGUGGAGCUGCUUGGAAAGGCGCUCGGCAGCCGGCAGCCACUCCCAGGAUACAGUCCCCAGACCACCUACCUCUCAUCAGCUGAAAGUGCCUAUGAAAAACGAAGCUUCUCUAAAUGCAAUGUGGAAUCCUGUAUUGGAUCCUGGAAUAGAUAGAGAACAUUAGUGGAAAAUCUGGUGAGAUCCAAAUGAAGUCUGGAGUUAAUGGUAAUGUGCCAGUGUUGACUUCUUCGUUUUGACAGUGACCUUUGAUGACAUGUUAGCAUUAGGGCAAAAUGAUUAAGGGGUAUACAGGAACUGGAUUAUCUUUGCAAAUUUUCUAUAAAGUCCAAAAUAAAGUUUUCUUUAAAAAAAAAAAAAAGCAGCUUUAUGGGUCCCAGAUCUACUGAAUCUCAAUUCCUGGAGCUUAAGCCUGGGAAUCUACAUUUUUAGUAGGAACUCCAGAAGAUUCUAUCCAUUCCCUUUCCAUUUCAUGCCUAAACCGUUGCUUCUUCCUUGCUUUACCUUAACCUGAUCUCAUCCUUUAGCUCCCCUCAGCCCUAAGAUCAGUGCUACUCUGCCUCUUUCACAGAUGAGAAAGCUGAAAAACUCAGAGAUUAAUAUGUCCAGGGUCACACAACCCAUAAAUGGAGGAGCGGGAACUUGAAUCCCUUGCUGUCUAGCUGCCAAGUCUUUAAAGACUUGGCAUCCAUUCUACUGCCUCUCAAUCCCAUUUCCAUUGGUGACAAACUAAAAAGCUCUAAAUCACUAAAGAAUUAUUACUGGGGCGCCUGGGUGGCUCAGUCAGUUAGGUGCCGGACUUCAGCUCAGGUCAUGAUCUCAAAGUUUGUGGGUUCGAGCCCCAUGUAGGGCUCUGUGCUGACAGAUCAGAGCCUGGAGCCUGCUUCAGAUUCUGUGUGUGUGUGUGUGUGUGUGUGUGUGUGUGUGUGUGUGUGUGUGUCUGCCCUUCCCCCCUCUCACUUGCUCAAAAAUAAACAUUUAAAAAGAAUUAUUACCAAUAAUACUCUGGACCCCACCUUUUUCUCCAACCUGCUAAGUCCCUACAGUCCCUUUGCCCCGGCCUGUGGCUUUACUCCUACCCCCUUUUCCACUGGGGAGAAAUGAGCAAUGAGGAAGCCCUGGGAGGGUGUGCCACCACCAGAGUCCUGCACAUGGAAGGUGCAGCUCUGUUCUUCCAUCAGGAUUCAGCUCAACAACGGGGUCUUCCAUUCUGCUUCUCCCAACCGUCCUCACUUCUAUAGGAAUCUGACAAUGUUCACAGCACUCACUCUGACAUUAAAUUACAUACGCUCAUAUUGUUGUCCACCUCUUAGAUUUGUCUUAUCUCCCUCCAACAAAACGUGAAGACCCUAAUUACCCGUCUUUGACAUACUUACACCUCAGAGCGAUGCUGGAGAACACGGACAUCCCAGGCAUUAACAGGCGAUGGUCCGUGGACUGGGGACUACUCUGCGUUUGGCCAACAGGCAGCCAGGAGAAAGGACUCUGACAAUAGUAUCUCAGGUUUAUCAGGCAGCAGAUUAUCAGGGAGGUGCCAACUCUAAAUCAAUUUCUAGCCUCUUCUCUGGGCUCCCUGACUUGUAUUCAGGGCUUAAUACCAAGUUGUGGAUCUAACUGCUGAAUGACAAAUGGUUUUGAGAGUCCCUGCCACCCCCCCCCCCAACCAGACACACAACAGCAUCACCUCUAUUCAAAGAGGUUCAGUAUCAAGUACAGAUGGAGGGCUGAUAAAAUAGAAAACGAUCUCAGGCAAGGUCGCUGGUCUUACGUGUAUUUCCCUUCAUUUCUUCAAGGGAUUCAUGAAACAAUCAGGAUCGGCAGGAGAAACCUAAGUACAUUCAAGUAAAACAUGUUUUCAUUAGUUUUGCUGCUGGUGACUGGAAUUGGCUUGAUUUUCAUACUAAUAAAAGCAUCGCCUCUUUAAGUACAUCUGAGAAAUCUGAUUAUGAAGUUAGAAUCCACAUAUCUCCUCAAGCACUCCUAGAAAGCAGUGUGUGUCUUCAUAAAAGCAUGAGGAGAAAAAGACUUGUACAGCAUCUUUUUUAUUUUCUUUACCAUUGUUUUAAUGCACUUUAAAAUUUAUCUACAUUAAUUGGGAACAAAGAAACAAAAAUAGACAUUUCUUUGUUUUUCAUAAAUAACUACUCUCCAUAUUUGAUAAAAAUCUCAAACCAUUACUUUACCUCCCCACAAAUAUAAUACAUACAAAAUCUUUUCUGAAUUAAUAAGGUCAGCAAAUUAAGCAUCUUGAGACUAACAUAACCACGUACAACUGCUGCUCUACGGACUUCCAGGAACAAAACCAAACCAAAAACUACCUAUCGAGAAUGUCUGGGUUUCCUUUUGUUAAUGUUAUGGAGUCAAAAUUAUAAUCCUCUGCCAAUAAUAAUUUAUAGAUUCAAGUUGAUUGUCUACAAAGAAAAUAUCGCUGGCUCUGAUUGGGGAAUUCUGGGUCGGACGCGACGGCGAGGAUGCUGCAGUGGUAGGCACUAUACACGGGUGAAAAUCAAAAAAAAAAGUACUGAAUGCCCUGGACGCCACCUACUGACUCGGUAUGUGCCUCAUGUGGCUCAGUAAUAAGUUCACCUGCACCAAACCCGUAUCAAAGUCACUAAAUCUCUCAUAUAUAUAAUAUAUAUUAUAUGUAUAUACACACCCACAACACAUACAUACUAUACAUACAGUUUGUAACAACACGAAGUAAUAUUGUCUCACAAUGGUGUACCAGACAGUGUCCUGGCUGAAAUGAAUCCUGCAAUUGUCAGUGAGCUGCUAGAAGCUUUUGAGAGUUGAGUCAGGUUACUUAGUCCCUCACAUCCUGCCCACCCUUUGCCCUGCUUUAAUGUCUUGGUAGCUUUUUUUUUUUCUUCCCCUCAGAACCACCCUCCCCCCUCCAGGCAUAUUUUCCCCCCUGGGAUCACUUGCUUGGACUUUGGAGGCAAGAAAGGGCACGCAGAGGGAGCAGGCAAUUCUCAGCCACUGUACCUCACACCUGCCUAGAUGUGUGACGUUCUCUGUCCUGUUUGCCACAUUUGGUGUUAGAAAGCAGUUAUUCAAAGCUUUGUCCCUCCUACCCCCCUUGGUCUUUCUGUAGAGCACAAAAGUGAAAGAAGCCCCUUUAGCAGGGGUAGCAGUUCAUUAAAAUAUACAACUACGUUUCCUAGCUCUGGGGUUUCCAUUCUGUACUUGAGAGUGCAGGUCACGGAUGCUGUUAUUAAGGUUCGGUGUGGGAUCCAUGAGGUUUUCUCCUGGCAGCCAGUGUCAGGAUUAGUGCAGCCCUGGCCCAGGAGGAAACAGCCUAAUGAAUACCAACUUGGAAACAGUGCUGUCGGCACAUUAUUUAAGCCUGUACAUGCACACAAUUACACACACACACACACACACACACACACACACAGGCCCGUCAUUGGAAACGGUCAUGUGAAAAGAUGACAAAGGUUUGCAAAGAUAAACCAAUAAGGCACCAAGAAAAAUUAUUCUCAGCCAAUUUAGACAACAUCAAAAUGUAAGGAGGGAAAUCAUAUAAAUUAAAGAGACUUCCUAAAAGUCUGGCCAACGGAUCCGCAGACGGGUCACAUUAGUUCCUUUAGACAACUUUCUAUAUCUUCACCCCUAACUCAUGAAGCGAGACAAUGCUUAAAACCGACCUGUGAAAGGGACAACCUGGAAGCUGUACAUGUGACAUUAAACUGAACCAUAAAUCCUUUCCAACUCCACAAAGCUAUCUGUGAAGAAGUUGCUAGACCCCACCGCCCACAACCUUUCAUUUUAUAAUUGUUUUCAUGAGUAUGAACUGUCUGCAUAAUAAAAAUGCAAAUCAGGGGGAAAUAGCAUGUGGGAUGGAAAGAGAGGGUGGCCAUAAAUAGAUCUGGCUUCUCUCCCCUGGGUGGGGGAUGGGGUGGUUGACAUUAGGAAGACUCUUGGGAAGCAGGUAGGCUUGAUCUUUGAGGGAUGGGAGAGGAAGAGUGGGGGCAAGAACACAGACUGAAAACAAAGGGGCAUCUCUGAAAAGCGGUGUGCAACUAGACCCCAAAAGGCAUUACUUAUAUUGCCCCUCCUUGGCUCACGGUCCUUUUUCAACUGCUUUUCUUUUUUUUUUCCUUCACAGUAAAUUGGUUGUUUUUGUGAGGCUUGGCAUGUUGCCCAAAUGAAACACUAAUUUUUUUUUU